ensembl:lncRNA
GGGAGCGGGGCUUGUUUCUGGGAAAGCUCGGCUGUGACAGUGUUGUGUUUCCUCGCUCCUUCUUUUGACGGAUUCUUUCGUUUGAGAACAAUUUGUUUUAUCUCAGUCGUUAGAGAGAUGAUAGAAACAACUUCUGAACACAAACGCUGCGUAAUUAGAAAGUUUAACGAGGAUAUUCAGACGACUUUAAAGAAGAAGGACCGUGUUUGGUUUCGGAGAGAAGCUUCAUGAACAGGCGUCGAGCAGACACCGCCCUCAUCCUCCGCGUUCUCUGACGUCGAUAUGGGAGGACUUUUGAAAACAUGAUGUUCAUGGUGUCUGUUCAGAAACAGACACGAAAGACAGCUGCAUACAAAUGGCCUCAUAGAACUCAUAUCUUAAACUAGAUGUCUGUUCACAGUGAGAGCGGGGCUGACUGAGUUUGCACAAAGGGGAGGACAUUGGCUGAUAUCGUAACUAUGAUGUGAAGGUGGGUUGUUAUGUGUUCUUACAGAGUAACCCGGCAUUCCAGUUGUAGCAAUGGGAAUUUUAUACAGAGAACAAGAUGAAACACCAGUGUGAAGAAAAAAUCAGGUUCUCGCUUUAACUCACCUGCAGACACGAUCGAGAACAGACAAGCAGCCAGCAGAGUCCAGCAGACUGAUGUUCCAUCCAUUACUCGUAGUUUUGUGGGUCCUGAUCAGUGUUGCCAACUCCUCAGUAAGGAAAAUCGCUAUUGGCUGUCCUAAAAGUCGCUAGAAGUCGCUAAAUGACGUCAUCACCUAAUUUGCAUAAUUGGUCACGCUAAUAUAAUUGUAACCUAUGUUGUUGGAGAGAGAAAUAACAUCGUGGAAGAGACAUAAAGUGAGUAAAAAACGUCCUAAAUGCAUUUAGAGUUUAUUUAGAACUACAAAUUAAAUUUCUUUUAGCAAUUAUUGUUUUUUUAAUGUCACAAUUCCAACCCUGCUCCUUUACCCGGGCUUGGACUGGCAAAAGUGACCCGAAAUAGGCACUCUGGUGGAGUUACUUUGUGUUUGUGUGUGUUUAUAAGUAGUUUUAAACCUUGUGAUCCACAAAACAGCAGAAGAGUAAAAGAUUAAAAGAAGAACUGACUGCGUUACAGCACCCGCUGCUUGUUGAGAGUAAAAGCGAUACGCGCUUUCACGUCUUUUUUUAGCGACUUUUUAUAGAAAAAAAGUCGCUAGGGGGUCUGAAAACUCGCUAAAUAUAGCGACAAAGUCGCUAAGUUGGCAACACUGGUCCUGAUCAGAUCAGAGUGGUACAAAAGUUGGAGUGAAAAGUUCCCGACCGAUCGUGAAUUGUUGCUGGAGAAUGAUCGCUAACGCACCAGUUACACAGGACAGCAGAUCGAUGAGAGACCCGCUGACAGCAACCGAAAAAUGUGUUGCUCGCCGGGAUGGUAAAACCUGUGCUGUGCUGCUGUUGGGACAGUCAAUGUGUCUAAGUUGAGCACAAAAAAAUCAAAUGAGGGUGUCUGACACUGUUGCAGUAAAGGGACCUGGCUUCCAUCAGUCACAUGAUUACUAUUAACCAAUGAUCGCCCUUGACGGCAAAGCGCGCUGGUUAGGAGCUGGGAAUGAGCUCACGAAGAAAAGGAGGAGAAACACAAACUAACUCAGAGACACAGACUGAUGCGACACAACCAUCUCAGAUCAGCACAGCCCUGCCCUCCAGCACUAUCAGCAGCAGAAGCAGCAGCAACCCCUCAACAGCAACAUUGUACCCAUCAGGUGGGGGUGGGCCCGGAGAUAAAAGCACUCACCUGCAGCUGACCAAGGAGGCUGAAGAGUUGGCCUGUGGGUGGGACGCCAGGAUGUUGGGAAUUCUGUCCACUAUGUCGACGACGGUGGCUCCCGGUAACAACAGCGUGAGCGCCCCCCUCAUCCGCACGUUCCUGACGAUGGAAUCCCCGAGGACCAGCGUGGAGAGAGGAGGUGCCACCGGGGGCUGCUGACCAUCUGAGACGCCCACUUGUACAAGGCCACAAAAUCAUCACAGCUGAGUCUGGAAAGAACAUCACUCUGACAUGUCGAGCUCCAAACAACAACAUAGUAGUAGAAUGGAGCAGAGCUGACCUGGAGUCAGAAUAUGUGCUUUUGUACCGAGUCGAGCUGUUUAUUCGAGAUCACCAGCAUCCAUCUUUUAAGGACCGGGUGGAUCAGCAGGACAGACAGAUGAAGGAUGGAGACGUGUUUUUGAUUCUGAUCAACGUGACGACUAAUGACACUGGAACAUACGAGUGUUGUGUCUUCAUGGGAGAAACACGCUCAUGGAAAUCCAUCAGCAUCAUCUAUCUGAUUGUUGAUCCUCCAGGUCAGACAGGAGGAGACACAGAGGAUGGAGAGGAGGAAGAUGGAGUUGGUAGAAGUCAUCAAGGUCGACUGAUGGCUGCUGAUUUAUUACUUGCUGUGAUCAUUCUUGUUUUUGCAGUUGUGAUCUCUAAAAAACACAAGAAAGAUCCUCCUCUUCAUCCUCCUGAUGAAGAAGCAAAGAAGGAAAUGGUCUGAAGCAAAGCACCAUGGAACAAGAGAGAGAGGGAGAAUACAUUAAAACCAGUUAAAAAUGUUUAACUAUAAAAAUGACAAUAUAUAUACGUAUAGAUGGAUAGUUGUAUGAGGGUAACUGAGAGUGACUUUGGCUUAGUGAGAUGAGUAGCUGCCUUGAGACUAAGAGGGCCAGGUUGGAAUCCUGCUCAGGGCAACAUUUUAGGGGGCAGGGAUAACUCAGUAGGUAGAGUGGUGGCCCCAUGAUCGGAAGGUCGGGGGUUCGAUUCCCCUGAACAGCUACCCUAAGGUACCCCUGAGCAAGGCACCGUCCCUACACACUGCUCCCCGGGCGCCCAAAGGCUGCCCACUGCUUCACUGAGUGAAUGGGUUAAAUGCAGAGAGGAAUUUCCCCACAGGGAUCAAUAAAGUACACUUUCUUUCUUUCUAACGUCACGAGGAGAACAAAGAGAAUAUAAACCAUAUAUGUGCUUAGAUCUGUGUGGACCAUUUUAGUUUAAUAUCAGAAGCUGUUUGAGUUACAUUUCAUUGCCCCAGAUGGUAACACCUCCACACCAUCUGAUAAGUUUUGGUUGAAGAUUUAUGUAAAGCAAACUGUCAGAGAAACUCUUGGAUCUGUGUCGGCUCCUCUUGAUCUCAGUGCUUUGAUCCUGUGGAUCACUGCAGACGUUUAGAGACAGUGAUAGAGACUCUCAGAGUUUCUGACUGGAUUAAACUGCACAGAUGGAGGAUUCUUUGUACGUGGUAGUGAAUCUUCAUCCAGGAGCUACAAACUGAACCAUGGCGCUCCACAGGGUCAGAUCUGGGACCAGUGCUUUUAACAUUUACAGGCUGUAACUUUGUGAUGUCAUCAGGAGACACAGAAUGAUUACACUGAUGAUACACAACUUUAUGUUGCUGUGUCUCUUGAUGACACAGAGCCAAUCAGAUCUCUCUGCAUCUUACAUAUUAAAUCCUGGAUGGCAGCAAACUUCCUCCAACUCACUCAGGAUGUGGAGACACAGACUCCUUCUUUCAUCUGCUGCAGGAUUGAUUGCUGCAGUGCUCGUCUUUUUAGUUUUCCAAAGAAACCCUUGUUACUGCAGCUGCUUUAAAAAUCAACUCCACAGCCUUAAUUACACCAAUGUUAUUGUCUGUGCAGUCAGAGUCGUCUUUAAGAUCCUUUUACUGGUUUUUAACACUCAGUGUUUCAGGACCUUCUCAUCUUUCUGAUUUACUUUUAUGCUAUGAGCACUUCAGAGCCCUCUGGGGCCCGUUCUUCGUACCUCGCUAAGUAAGUUAGCCGGAUUUGAAUGUUGACGAUUUCGCGUGAUCUUGGAUUGUUCGGUUCUCCGAAGCUCAUCUGGGACUUGCUGUCAUAGCAACAGAUCCGUAAGCGUAAACCUGCUCGGGAGCAGGUUUACUUUAUGUAAACAGGAUUAGAUCGCGGCCACUCAGGUAUGUCCGCUGCAGUUAUAUGAAAGCAAGAGCGAUAUUUCUCCACUGUGUUACCAUAAAUAAAUAUUAUCAAUGUCACUAAAGAUAAUGUAGCAUUUGAUUCUUUUAUUGAUUUCAUACAGAUACAUACAGGUCAUUUCCGAAAAAAAGGGAAAUGUACUAUUAAUCAUUCUAUUACAUGUAGUAGAUCAUGUCAGAUGUAAUUCAUAUUUUAGAGUAGUAAUAGUAAAUUACUACGUGCAAUCAAGAUGAGAGACCACGGCUAUAAAAGCGAAGGUGGAUUUGGGAAGUCUGUCGCAGCCAUGUCCUGUCCGUUUGUACGCGAGCAAGGAAGGUGCAAGAUUGAUAAGGAGAGUUUACAGAAUUUAGCGUAUAUUGCGGGAUAGACAGGAUCCUUUAGCUCAGCACGACGGUGUGCUCAUAGAGAGAUAUCGAUUCUCCCGUGAGGGUAUUAUUUUCUUUCUCUCUCUCUCUCACUCUCUCCAUACAUACAUAUAUAUAUAUAUAUGUAUAUAUAUAUCUUUAUUUGCUCUGCCCUUUUCUUGGUUGCUUUUAUAAACAAACAAACAGAUUAUUUCAGGGUCUCUUUUCAAGAGACUAAAAGCAAUAUAAGUGAUAAAUAUUACCAUUCUGUAGAAUAUUCUUAUAUUUCACUUUUACUUGUUCCCAUGUUCUAGUGGGUCCUGUUGUGGCUCUAAUGUGGAAGAGGAUAUGAUGUAAUAUAAUAUAAUAUGGUAUAAUAUAAUAUCACAUGAUAUAAUGUAAUAUCAUGGAUCACUUACGAGUUUAAUUUGUCAGCAACUUUCUGCCAGCCCUCUCUCCUUGCUUUUGCAGCCUUUGCAGUGUUCCCCUGCGUUUUAAUUAAACUAUGAAACUCCUGAAAUCCCUCAAUCAAGAGUUCUUGGUCUGCUGCCGUAAAAUACUGAGGGCGCUCCUUCGACAUCUUCGCCGACCAAUCACAGGGUUGCCGAUCAAUGUUUCUACUAUCGAUGCGUAGCCCCUUUUAAGCCACCCAGUGAUCUCAGAUUACUUCAUCCAGCUAUACUAAUCGUCAACAACAGGUGUGUUCGGAGAACCGGAUUAGCGAGCUCAAAGUUAGCGCGAUGAUUUGAUCUUGGAUGUGUCAUUUGAUCUUGGAUGUAGUAAGCGAGGUACGAAGAACGGGCCCCAGGACAGGAGACUGUUGAUCAUCUUUAUUUAUCAUGCUGCACUUUAUUUCAUUUUACUUUUGAUGUAUUUACUGUUUUCUUUGUUUAUUCCCUUUUCGUUAUAUUUCAUGUAUUCUUAGUAGCCUUGUUAUGUUAUUUAUCAUUUCUUUUUAAUCUCCAGUGUUUCUGUAUGAUGAGUGUCUGAUGUCUGGGUGUGGGAGUGGGGAUGAAGGAGUGAUGAGAGGAUGUAAUGAAGUUGAUGUAUGUGUAUUUUUUCUGCUUUUAAUUUAACAUCAUUUUGAGUGGCUUCCUUACUGUGUGAGAAGUGCUAUGUAAAUAAAGUUUUGAGUGAUAUACUAA